AUGGCUUGUGGUCUGGUCGCCAGCAACCUGAAUCUCAAACCUGGGGAGUGCCUCAGAGUAUGGGGCGAGGUGGCCCCCGACGCCAAGAGCUUUGUGCUGAACCUGGGCAAAGACAGCAACAACCUGUGCCUUCAUUUCAACCCUCGCUUUGAUACGCACAGGGAGGCCAAUACUAUCGUGUACAUUAGCAAGGACAGCGGGGCCUGGGGGGCUGAGCAGCGGGAGGCUGCCUUUCCCUUCCAGCCUGGAAGUGCCGUGGAGCUGUGCAUCAGCUUUGAACAGGCCAACCUGACCGUCAAGCUGGCAGAUGGUUACACAUUCAAGUUCCCUAACCGCCUCAACCUGGAGGCCAUCAACUACAUGGCAGCUGAUGGUGACUUCAAGAUCAAGUGUGUGGCCUUUGAUUGAAGUCAGCUGGCCCAUGACCUCUAAUAAAGGCAGCUGCCUCUGCUCUUCCUGAACCA